UACGGGGGGAGCAAGCGUUGUUCGGAUUUACUGGGCGUAAAGGGCGCGUAGGCGGCGCCGCAAGUCGGUUGUGAAAUCUCUGGGCUUAACCCAGAAAGGUCAACCGAUACUGCGGGGCUAGAGUGCAGAAGGGGCAACUGGAAUUCUCGGUGUAGCGGUGAAAUGCGUAGAUAUCGUAAGGAAGACCAGUGGCGAAGGCGGGUCUCUGGACAGUUCCUGACGCUGAGGCACGAAGGUCAGGGGAGCAAACGGG
rnacentral:rRNA from 1 species